AAUGAACGCUGGCGGCAUGCCUAACACAUGCAAGUCGAACGAAGGCUUCGGCCUUAGUGGCGCACGGGUGCGUAACGCGGGGGAAUAUGCCCUUGUGUUCGGAAUAACAGUUAGAAAUGACUGCUAAUACCGGAUGAUGUCGUAAGACCAAAGAUUUAUCGCCCAAGGAUGAGCCCGCGUAGGAUUAGCUAGUUGGUGGGGUAAAGGCCUACCAAGGCGACGAUCCUUAGCUGGUCUGAGAGGAUGAUCAGCCACACUGGGACUGAGACACGGCCCAGACUCCUACGGGAGGCAGCAGUGGGGAAUAUUGGACAGUGGGCGAAAGGCUGAUCCAGCAAGGCCGGGAGAGUGAUGAAGGCCUUAGGGUUGUAAAGCUCUUUUAACCGGGAUGAUAAUGACAGUACCGGGAGAAUAAGCUCCGGCUAACUUCGUG
rnacentral:rRNA from 1 species